CGAACCGAGCAGAUAAAUUCAAAGAAGCAAAGAAUUUAUGUAAAUAAAAAAUUUUCCUCGUUUGUCUCGUUUGGGUCGGUCUCGUUGAAGUUUCGCUUUUGACACUGAGCAAAAACGAAAAGCGCGUGCCACACUAAUAAAUCCACUAACAAAUUAUUUUUAGUCGGGCAUCGAAACCAAAGAAGGAAAAAAAAUUAACCCUACCAAACGCUCCCUUAGCCCACCGAAACGGCGAAACCCGUCAUCUCUUUCUUCCCCAUUUUCCUUGGCAUUCUCGAUCUUUUCUCCUUCCCUCUCUCUCUCUCUCUCUCUCUCGUUUUCGUGCACUGUUCUUCAAAAAUCGAGUUUAGAUCUGUUUUCUAUUCCUUGAAAUUCCGUGUUUGACCUUCUUCGUUGAAUCUCCCAAACAAUUUCCGUACCCUCCACCGAUUUAGGGUUUCGAUCUCUUCUCCGUUUUGUUGGUCUUUUUCUUUUUUGGUUUUCUCAAAAUUGCAUCUGCAAACAAAAAAAGAAAAUCUUCUUAAACUUUUCAAUUUUCAAUAUUUUCUGAUUUCCUUUGCGAUUUACGUUCUAAUCUAAAUUUGAUUACCUUAUGAUUUGCUAAAUUGCUUUGAUCCUCAUUAAGGUUGCUUGAAUUUGUAUCGAUUUCGGGUGACAUCCAGGCUUGCGUGUUUUUGGGGUCGUUUGUUGGGUUAGUUUAGUGCUGAAACGGAUGGACUCUCGGAACCCUAACGGAUCUUUGUCGCAGCAAUCACAGCGUCCGAAGAAGUACGGAAUCACGAAACCAAUAUCCCUUGCGGGGCCAAGUGAGGCUGAUAUUCAACGAAAUACGGAAUUAGAGAAGUUUUUAUUAGAGUCGGGGCUUUACGAAAGCAAAGAAGAAGCCGCAAAAAGAGAGGGGGUUCUUGGCCAUAUCACUGAGAUUGUAAAAAGUUGGGUAAAGCAAUUAACUGGUCAAAGGGGCUACACGGAUCAGAUGGUUGAAGAAGCAAACGCUGUCAUUUUUACUUUUGGAUCUUACCGUUUAGGGGUGCAUGGACCUGGGGCCGACAUAGACACUUUGUGUGUUGGGCCAUCUUAUGUGAAUCGAGAGGAAGAUUUCUUCAUCAUUUUGCGUGAUAUUUUGGCUGAAAUGGAAGAAGUUACUGAACUUCAACCGGUUCCAGAUGCUCAUGUCCCUGUAAUGAAAUUUAAGUUCCAAGGGAUAUCGAUUGAUCUUCUUUAUGCAAGUGUAUCUCUUUUGGUUGUUCCAGAUGACCUUGACAUCUCACUUGGGUCUGUGCUGCAUAACAUUGAUGAACAAACUGUUCGAAGUCUUAAUGGGUGCAGGGUUGCUGAUCAAAUCCUUAAACUUGUUCCAAACGUUGAGCACUUCUGCAUGACGCUUAGAUGUUUGAAGUUCUGGGCCAAAAGGCGAGGUGUUUAUUCCAAUGUUACUGGAUUCCUAGGAGGUGUAAAUUGGGCCCUUCUAGUCGCACGUGUGUGCCAGCUUUAUCCCAAUGCAAUACCUAGCAUGCUCGUUUCUCGAUUUUUUAGAGUAUAUACUCAGUGGAGGUGGCCAAACCCUGUUAUGUUGUGUUCAAUAGAAGAGGAUGAACUUGGCUUUCCCGUCUGGGAUCCUCGGAAGAAUCCUCGGGACCGGUUUCAUCAUAUGCCGAUAAUAACUCCUGCAUACCCUUGCAUGAAUUCGAGUUACAAUGUCUCUAUAAGCACUCUUCGUGUUAUGAUGGAACAGUUCCAAUGUGCUAAUAAAAAAUGUGAGGAGAUUGAGCUAAACAAAGCUCAAUGGAAUGCUUUAUUUGAGCCUUAUCUGUUCUUUGAGGCAUACAAAAACUAUCUACAAGUUGACAUUGUUUCAGCAGAUGCUGAUGAUAUGCUGGCAUGGAAAGGCUGGGUGGAGUCACGGCUUAGACAGCUUACCUUGAAGAUAGAGCGGGACACAAAUGGAAUGUUGCAGUGUCAUCCUUACCCAAAUGAGUAUGUAGAUACAUCCAAGCAGUUCUCACAUUGUGCUUUCUUCAUGGGCUUGCAGAGGAAAGAGGGAGUGAGUGGUCAAGAAGGUCAACAAUUUGACAUACGAGGAACAGUUGAUGAGUUCAGACAAGAGAUCAGCAUGUACAUGUAUUGGAAACCGGGAAUGGAUAUUUAUGUUUCUCAUGUUCGUAGGAGGCAGCUCCCUGCCUUUGUUUUUCCUGAUGGAUAUAGACGGCCUCGAUCAUCGAGGCAUCCAAGCCAGCAUACUGGAAAAGCUUGUGAGGAUGUCACAAGGUUCCGGUCAGGGUCUGCGGAAAGACAAGCUAAGAGAAAACAUAAUGAUGAGACAGUGGAUGAAAAACUAGACAAACCUGAGAAGCGGGCAUCUAUUAGCCCCCAGAGGGUGGGGUCUGUUUCUCCUGAAUGUAUUACAAGUAUGUCUGGUGGAACAUCUCAUAUUAGCAAUGGUCAAGCAGUUAAACUAGAGUGCCUGACUACUGGGGAUGUUGGUAGCAAUUCUGUUGAUAGGCUGUCUAGUGGGCUGUCUAGUGGGCUGUCUAGAACUUUUGAUCAAGUGUCCCUCACCAUAAGUGGGCAGACUUUAGAUGUAGAUAAUUUGUCAGUAGUUAGAAAUGUAGAGUCAGCUGAACAGAUGGGCCAACCUGUUCCUAGGCAGGAAUUGCUUUCUCCAUGUGAAGUUCCUGAUUCUGAAAUAAGGGAAACAUGCAAGACUGACUUGAAUCAAGAGAAAACUGGUGAUUUGGCAUCAGCUUACAUGGAUGAUGCAGAGACUGGAUCUUCUAGGACAAUUUUAAACUGGAAGGGUGGUGGUGUUGGGGUCGAUCAAGAGGUGGUCAAACCAUGUAAUCAAACAGCUGUAGUAGAAAUUGCUGCAAGUGUAUUUGGGUCAAGUUCCAAUGUGCAGAACCUCAAUUGCGAGGGUGGUGUCUGCAGUGCAGAUUUGGAUUCACUUCUGGAAAAUGGACAAUUGAAUGCAAGUGGUGUGCUCCAAAACAGCUUGCCUGAAGAAUUAAAGGUCCUGCACCACCAUCAUACGUGUUAUGUUUCCAGUAACUGUGCUUAAGACCCUGACUCUGUUUUGUGUCUAAGGCUCAGAUACAUGACCCUCCCUCUUAUUUCUUACCUUUUUUUAACAAUUUUUGGUGGCCUAACUUGCCUUUUUACCUUUAUUUUGUUGUAUAGCCAAAUAUUGCAGUUGGAAAGGUUGUAAAUUCUCAAGAUGGAGCUAGCAGGUUGAGUUUGAAGUCAACGGCAUAAUUUGUUGUAAAUGAUGCAUUUGGAGGAGGAUGUUUGUGACCAAAGGAGUAAGGCCAGCGUCUGGGUAAGUGUCCCAUUAAUUGCUGGCUUACAUUAUGGUUUUACAGGUAUACCGAGUGUGAUUGGACUGGCGCCAUGUGGUGUAGAGUUGUUUUGCUUAUACUUUUAGGUGUGUUGUACCGUGUGAUUUUAGCAUGGAGUAGCCAAGAAGCUAUAAGAGUGCUGCUGGUGCUUUGAAGACUCUGCUAUCUCAUUUUUUGCCACUUUUGAGUGUGGCAUGCUUCUUGCCUCGAUCUAUGAAUGAAUCAUAUUUCAUCGAGAAAUUGUAAAUCAAACAGGGGUAUUGCUCUAUCAUUUAGAUUAUUUUUUUGUAACCUUAUGUAAUCCUUUGUACACUAGUAAUACAGUUCAUCAAUGCUUUCUAGUUAGUUAACUCAUCUCUCUCUCA